ensembl:snRNA U1 U1 spliceosomal RNA
AUACUUACCUGGCAGGAGAGAUGCCUUGAUCAUGAAGAUAGUUUUUCCAGGAUGAGGCUUAUCCGUUAUACUCUGCAUGGGUUGACUCCUGUGAUUUCCCAAAUGCGGGAAACUUGACUGCAUAAUUUAUGGUAGUAGUGGGGAACUGUGUGUGCACUUUCUUCUA